AAUACUAAAAUAUCGAAAAAAUUCCCACCAAGAACAAUUGAAAUGUGAAGAUAGGUCGCAAAGCAAUUCUCCACUGAGAUAUAGGGUGAACAAGAUAGCUUUUGUGCAAGGCAGCUGCUUGGGAAUUUAAAUGUUAUUUUGGUGAAAUUGAUAGCUAUGGAUAGUUAGAUAUGUAUGAGGUAUAAAGUAUGCUAAUCCAAUGAGAUUGAUCUCUUUUUUUUUCGUUUUAUCCCUACUAACAAGUUUUAGCAGGCACUGAGAAAUAAGUUUUUCCGUUGGGGGAUAUAUUGUGGUUUUUUUUUAAAAAUAGUUCGUUGGGCAAAACCUGGACUUCGGGGUGAUAGAUAACUUCACUAGGGAAGAUAGUGUGGGAAAUAGAAAGUAAAUAGUUGGUCAUCAACUCUGAGGUUGGGCACAGAAAGAUGAUCAACACUGAUUGCUGGGGAUUGAAAUUUUUUGACCUCAAUACUGUGAAUGGGGUAAAACUGGACAUUCUCAACUCUACGGUUGGAAACAAAUUAUGAUCAACAUCGGCUCUGAGGCUGGAAAAGGGAUAAGCAUCAACUCUGAGGUCAGGUACAAUGGGGUGAACAUAGACUCUAAGGUCGGGAACAAAGGUAGGCGUGAACUCUGAGGUUGGAUUUAUAGACACCAGCUCUGAGGCCGGGUGACAAGAAGGGGUUCAACAACUCGAAAGUUGGGAAAAAGGUACACGUUCAACUCUGAGGUUGGGGAUAGAAGGUUCAUUAACUCCACGGUUGGAAAAAGGUAGACGUUUAACUUUGAGGCUGAAAAAAGAUAGACCUUCAGCUCUGAGGCUAGGGGUAGAAAAGGAUAAACGUCAACUCUGAGGUUGGAAAAAGGUAGAUAUUCAGCUCUGAGGCUAGAAAAAGAGAUACAUCAACUCCGAAGUUGAAAAAAUGUAGCUGCUCAACUCUGAGGCUAGGAGCAAAAAAAUGGUAAACAUCAACUCCGAAGUUGGAAACAAGUAGAUACUCAACUCUGAGGUUGGAAGCUAAAUGGAAAACAACAACUCCGAGGCUGGAAAGGGGGAAAUAACACUGAGGUUGGAAAAGGGGUGAUAACUCUGAGGUUGGACAAGGGGCGACAACACUGAGAUUGGAAAAGGGGCGACAACACUAAGGUUGGAAAAGGGACAACAACUCUGAGGUUGGAAAAGGGGCAACAACUCUGAGGUUAGAAAAGGGGCGACACCAUUGAGGUUAGAAAAGGGGCGACAACACUUAGGUUGGAAAAGGGGAGACAACUCUGAGGUUGGAAAAGGGGCAACAACAUUGAGGUUGGAAAAGGGGCGACAACUCUGAGGUUAGAAAAGGGGCGACAACACUGAGGUUGGAAAAGGGGCAACAACUCUGAGGUUAGAAAAAGGGCAACAACUCUGAGGUUGAAAAAGGGGCAACAACUCUGGGGUUGGAAAAGGGGCAACAACACUGAGGUUGGAAAAGGGGAAACAACUCUGAGGCUGCAAAUGAGAAAGGUUAUCAUCAACUCUGGGGUUGGGAAUGAGAAACAUCCAACUCUGAGGUCAUACAUAAGAGAAAGGCAACAGCUCUAAGGUUGGAAAUAAGAAAAAUAGACAACAACUCUGAGGUUGGAAAUAAGGAAG
rnacentral:lncRNA from 1 species